rnacentral:rRNA from 1 species
AUUGAACGCUGGCGGCAGGCCUAACACAUGCAAGUCGAGCGGAUGAAGGGAGCUUGCUCCUGGAUUCAGCGGCGGACGGGUGAGUAAUGCCUAGGAAUCUGCCUGGUAGUGGGGGAUAACGUCCGGAAAUGGGCGCUAAUACCGCAUACGUCCUGAGGGAGAAAGUGGGGGAUCUUCGGACCUCACGCUAUCAGAUGAGCCUAGGUCGGAUUAGCUAGUUGGUGGGGUAAAGGCCUACCAAGGCGACGAUCCGUAACUGGUCUGAGAGGAUGAUCAGUCACACUGGAACUGAGACACGGUCCAGACUCCUACGGGAGGCAGCAGUGGGGAAUAUUGGACAAUGGGCGAAAGCCUGAUCCAGCCAUGCCGCGUGUGCGAAGAAGGUCUUCGGAUUGUAAAGCACUUUAAGUUGGGAGGAAGGGCAGUAAGUUAAUACCUUGCUGUUUUGACGUUACCAACAGAAUAAGCACCGGCUAACUUCGUG